UACGGGGGGGGCAAGCGUUGUUCGGAAUUACUGGGCGUAAAGGGCGCGUAGGCGGUCCGUUAAGUUAGAUGUGAAAACUCUGGGCUCAACCCAGAGCCUGCAUCUAAUACUGACGGGCUAGAGUUCUGGAGGGGGUAGCGGAAUUCCUGGUGUAGCGGUGAAAUGCGUAGAUAUCGGGAGGAACACCUGUGGCGAAGGCGGCUUUCUGGGCCUUACCUGACGCUGAGACGCGAAAGCGUGGGGAGCGAACCGG
rnacentral:rRNA from 1 species